UCUUUAAUUUCUUUUUCUCCCCCCUUUUUCGUGUGCAGGCAGCCUGCUUGUACCCCCUCACAUCUCCCCCCGGAGCCGGGGGGUGAAGCUGCGGCGGGGAGCCCGGGGGAGGGCGGCUGCCGGCCCGGCUGCGGCGGGAUGCCCCGGCGGGGGGAGCCUGGGAGCAGCCUUCACCGCCGGUCUGGUUUUCAUUAAAGCAGCCCGGCUGGGCCAAGAAACACAGCAAUAAAUAAAGGCGAACAAUACCUCCCCCCUCCCUCCCACCGCCCAGCCCGGGACCCGGGGAACCGGGGCUCCGGCCGCCGGCGAGCGGGGCCGCCGUGCCGGGUGCAUGGGGCUGGCGGGGGGCAGCCGGCCGGAGGGGAGGGGACCCGAGCGCAUAAGAGAGGAAGGCAGGGCUGGUGGCGGCGAGCAGAGGUGGUGACAGCCCCGGGGAGUGCCGGCAUGGCCGGGCGGGCCCCCCGCAAGCGCUGCACCCGCCGGGGCUUGGCUGGUUUUGGGGGGAGCCGUGUUUUGUUGCUGGGGUUGUUGCUGCUGCUCCCGGCGCGGGGGGAUGCUUCUGGACCCGGAGGACCACCAUCCCAUGGAGAGUGGGUCACCCCGCACUGGCUCCUUGGGGGCCGUACCAGACGAGCUGUCAGCCUGGCUGAAAAGGUGCUGGCACCUGCCCGGGCAAAGGUGGCUGUCAUGGCUGAGGGCAGAGAGCUCAUCCUGGUGCUGGAGAGGAACCAGCUGCUUGCACCAGGCUACACCGAGACGCACUACACCACGGAUGGGCAGCCUGUGACAGUGUCCCCCAACCACACGGACCACUGCUACUACCACGGGCACGUCCGGGGCUAUGGAGGCUCCUGGGUUGUCCUCAGCACCUGCUUGGGAAUACGGGGCCUGAUAGUGCUGAGCAGCAACACCAGCUACUACCUGAAACCCCUGGGGACCCCCGAGCCGGGCCACCACCUCAUCCACCGAGCAGAGCACUUGCCCGUCAGAGGAGGGACCUGCGGCCAUGGCAAUGAUUUUGGGAGCACCAUCGCUGACAUUGCUCAGCUCUUCCAGCCGGUGUACCACCGGGCGAAGAGAGAUGCCUGGAGGACCAUGAAGUACAUGGAGCUCUUCAUUGUUGCUGAUCACACACUGUACAGGAACCAGAACCUCAACCUGGGCCACACCAAGCAGCGCAUUGUGGAGAUUGCAAACUACGUGGACAAGUUUUACAGGUCUCUGAACAUCAAGGUGGCCCUGAUCGGCCUGGAAGUGUGGACGGAACGGGAUCAGUGUGCCGUGACCAGCGACGCCAAUGCCACGCUCUGGUCCUUCCUGCAGUGGAAGAAGGCGCUGAGGUCACGCAAGAAGCAUGACAAUGCCCAGCUGCUGACAGGGAAGACAUUCAGGGGCACAACCAUCGGCAUGGCCCCAUUGGAGGGGAUGUGCAGCGUGGAUAACUCCGGAGGCGUCAGUGUGGACCACUCAGAGCAGCCCAUUGGAGCAGCUGCCACUAUGGCCCACGAAAUCGGCCACAAUUUUGGCAUGAGCCACGACAGCACGGGCUGCUGCGUGGAGGCCACCCCGGAGCAAGGUGGCUGUGUCAUGGCAGCGGCCACCGGGCACCCCUUUCCUCGUGUGUUCAGCUCCUGCAGCAAGAGGCAGCUGGAGAACUACUUCCAGAAGGGAGGUGGCAUGUGUCUCUUCAACCUGCCUGACACCAAGGACCUGGUGGUGGGACGGAAAUGUGGCAAUGGCUUUCUGGAGGAAGGAGAAGACUGUGACUGUGGGGAGGUGGAGGAAUGCACCAACCCGUGCUGCAAUGCGCACAACUGCACACUGAAGGAGGGAGCCCAGUGUGCCCACGGUGACUGCUGCCAGAACUGCAAGCUAAAGGUGGCUGGGACGAUCUGCAGGGAAGCAGCGGGAUCCUGUGACCUCCCUGAAUACUGCACAGGCGCCUCACCCUACUGCCCAGCCAACGUGUACCUCCUGGAUGGCUCGUCCUGCGCCUACGGCGAGGCUUACUGCAACAACGGCAUGUGCAUGACCCACCACCAGCAGUGCGUCCAGCUCUGGGGACCAGGUGCCUGGCCAGCCCCAGAUGCCUGUUUCCAGGAUGUGAACAUGGCUGGCAACACCUACGGCAACUGUGGCAAAGACAGCCAAGGGCGCUAUGUGAAAUGUGACAAGAGGGAUGCUAUGUGUGGCAAGAUCCAGUGCCAAAGUUCAGCUAAGAAGCCCCAGGGGACCAACACUGUCUCCAUCGACACCACCAUCCGCUUCAACGGGCGAGAGGUGAAGUGCCGAGGCACCUACAUGUACACCGCGAAGGAUGAUGAGGAAGAUCUCUCUGACCCUGGGCUGGUGAUGACUGGGACAAAAUGUGGAGAUGGGAUGGUUUGCAAAGAUCGCCGUUGCCAGAAUGCCUCCCUUUUUGAGCUGGAAAAGUGUGUUUCCCGGUGCAACGGCCAUGGGGUGUGCAACAGCAACAAGAACUGCCACUGCGAUGCUGGCUGGGCUCCCCCCUACUGCGAGAAGCCGGGCUUGGGUGGCAGCGUGGACAGUGGCCCCGUGCAGCGCGAUAAUCAUGAGGCCAUCUUAAUAACACUUCUGCUCAUCUUCCUGCUCUUCCUCCCCGCCCUGAUGAUGAUCAUCUACUUUUGGUACCGUCGGGAGAACUCACUCCUGAAUAAAUGGAUAAAGGAGAUGAGGAGGAGGGGCCAGGAGACAUAUAGGAGCAAACCCAUCAGUCGGAAGUCAACCAGUGGCCAUCCCAAAGCUGCUUUCACCUUGCGGAACAUUUCCACCUCCAGCCAUAGUAAUAAAGCAACACGGGCUGCAUUCCCCCCCAAACCCAGCACACACCAGCCCGGCUCUCAGCCUGUCAACGUUGUCCACCCUCUUCGCCCAGCUCCCCACUCCGUCCCUCCUCGCCCGAGAGACCCCAAGCCUGCCAGGCCACCUCCGCCGGUCAGCAAAUCGCCUAUGGUCCCCACCAAAACAGUUGUCUCUCAGGUUAAGCUGCCGCCUCCUAAGAAACCUCUUCCCUGCAGCCCCGUGAGGACCCCACUGAUUGUCCCAAAGCACCAGCCCCCUCGUCGGCCUCUGCCCGGAAGUCCUCUUCUGGCCAAAGAGCUGCCUCCUGCACAUGGACAGACCCUGCUGGUCAUGGUCCCUCCUACCAACUUCAAGGUGUCGGGUACAAGUGCUGUCAGCCACUCCACAAGGCCAUUAAAGCCGAUGCCACCUCAAAGGUGAGUCACAGAUGACACCAUGCAGGACCAUGGGGACUGCUUGUGGGGGGAUGGCCUUUGGUUAAGCACUGAGCUGGGAACCAGGAGACUGGGGAUUAAACAUCUUCCUUCCCAGAGGCUCCUAGGCCAAUCCCAGCCAUCAAAGUCCAGUCAACCUCCUUCCUCUUGAAGAAGUGACAAAGCAAGGACACCUUAAGCCCAUCCUUCCUGAGCUGGCUCUCCUGAUUUGCACUGCUGCUGGCGACAGGGGUCUUUUAUUCCUUUCUUGUUUUAUUUGUCUUUUGAUACCAGAGGACUAUUUUUAUAAGACAGAAUAUGUAUUCAGCACAAAAACUGCAGUGGUGGUGGGAGGAGAGGGGAAAUUGGUACUAUGAUGUCACAAAGGGUUAGGGUGGGUUGGCGGUGGGGUUACCACGAUGCAGACCCCACCACAGCUCACGGCAUCGCUUCCUGGCCAAUUUACCCUCCAGCUUUAGUUUCUUCUUGACAUUGCACAUGGGCUGGGAUGGGGUCACUUGGGGUCAAAUGAGCAUCCAACACUGAUGAACAAUGCUGAUGACAGUGGCAGCAAAAGCCGUGUAAUAUCCUUCUAGCUACCUCCUCCUUCUCCUCCAGGCCUGGUGAGACCCCACCACCACCCAUUGCCACCAGAGUUCAGUGCUGGGCAUUGUCUCGGGGGAGACAUUUGCCGUGAGAGAAAAAUGGUUUCCAGUUUGGACUGUGCCAUACAGUACUGGGACAUUUCCAUCAAGGGUCCAAGUUCUCAGGCUCCUCCUGGCCUCCUGCCUGAUUGCACAAGAAAAAGCCAGUGGCAGUCCUGGAGGUGUACGUGGAAGGAGACGCUGUCUGGGAAAUGGUUUAAUGUCUGAAGUGCUGAUGGCAGCUGGUUACCAGGGUGCUUUCAAGGGGCUCAAAAGCCCCCCCUAAACACUGCGUGUUCCCUGCUCAUGGGGCAAGCCCAGCACUGGCUCUGUGAGCUGCUAACACUCUGUUGUCCAAAGGGGAAAGGAGCCACAACCCGGGAACAAGAGCAGGAAGACCUCCUGCCUGUGUCAUUGGCUUGCCCAAAGGCCUUGGCCAAGCCAUUGCAUUUCUCUUGUGCCUCAGUUCCCCCCAUCUUUAAAAUGGGGGGAGGGGGGUAAUACCUACCUCACAGGGGUGUUGUGAGGUUUAACAAACUGAUGUCUUGAAAGGGCUUUACAAUCCUCAGACGAAAGGUGCUGUUGACCUGCACAGUAUUAUACGGUGCCACUUUCCUAUGACUUGAUACGCGGCUCUGUCAGGGUCUGAAACAAGAACAAAGGCUUUGUACAGUC